rnacentral:lncRNA from 1 species
CCGCAUUCUCUACUCCGCAGUGCUGCUUCACUUUUUUCUCCACCUUCGCACAGGUCCUUAAUUUAUCUGAAUUAUGAAUUAUUUUGAGUCGGCUUAUUCAAACUUGUAAAAUUAUAAUUUUACUACUUAAUCUUUUAAUUUACUUGAUUUGACCCAGCAAACGACGAUAUUUUGACUUCAAAAUUUUAAAAUAAUUACCUAUUUUAAUAAAUUCAUUUAAUUUGCAUGAAGUAUACUAAAUAAACUUAUAAAGAUAAACAAUAUAUUCAAAUUUUCAAGUCAAAAUGGCGUCGACCGACUCAAAUCAAUUAAAUUGAAAGAUUGGAUAGUCAAAUCAAAAUUGUUAUGUACUUUUUACUUUUUAUAUUCAACACUCCUCUCGCAUCUAGCUCGAAGAGCCUGAUGCGUACCCAAGACGUAUUCUUAUAUCAUGUUAAAUAAUGUGAAAUAAAGUCGCAUAAAC